rnacentral:lncRNA from 1 species
CACGGGCUGACAUCCCCGGGUAGCAAAGGGAAUGCUCCGCUUUCCUGGGGGCUGCAGGGUGGGAGGGAUGUGCAUGUGCCCGACUGGUGCUGACCCCUAGCCAGGGCAUUUUGGGGUUAUUUUUCCCCAGAGCUUCCAGCGCCGGGCAAUGAUUUGCCCCUCAUCAGCCCCUUUAAGGGCGAAGAUGCCAGCGGGAGAACUACAGCUGUAGAUCUGAGUGCUGCCGCCAGGAGACAACAGCCUGCCCAGGGUGCCGGUGGGAUCUGGGGAGAGGGAAGCAGUAGAUCUGCUGCCUGGUCCAGCGCACACCAGGCUGUCCUUUCUGGAGAUAGCUCUUCCUGUGAAAAGACUUUUCUGCCUGCGAAAAGGGCAGUGGAGUGAGAGGAGAGUGACCUGGCAUGAGGAAGGCUGGGAGAAGAUUCACAGCUCCUCUCUGCUCUGCAUGGGGAACAUGCGGUAACCUUCUUCUUCAGACAUGUUUUCUGGCUAUCACUAUUUAAAAAAAAAAAAAAAAAAAUUCUUUCCUGAACAAAGCUCACAUUAUGGCAAGGACAGGCAUGUUUAGUGACACAGCUGGCACGGGCAGGCUCAGCGUGACCAGCACACAUCCUGGUCUCCCAACUGCUUCGUCCUGUGAGUGCCAGCUUCGGCCCAGAGGAAAGCUCCCCUUUGGCUCUUGAGCUCCAUGCUCAACCCUAAUUUGUAAAGGGAAAACAA